rnacentral:rRNA from 1 species
GCUAAUACCGCAUAAGCGCACAGCUUCGCAUGAAGCAGUGUGAAAAACUCUGGUGGUAUACGAUGGAUCCGCGUCUGAUUAGCUAGUUGGCGGGGUAAAGGCCCACCAAGGCGACGAUCAGUAGCCGGCCUGAGAGGGUGAACGGCCACAUUGGGACUGAGACACGGCCCAAACUCCUACGGGAGGCAGCAGUGGGGAAUAUUGCACAAUGGGGGAAACCCUGAUGCAGCGACGCCGCGUGAGUGAAGAAGUAUUUCGGUACGUAAAGCUCUAUCAGCAGGGAAGAAAAUGACGGUACCUGACUAAGAAGCCCCGGCUAACUACGUGCCAGCAGCCGCGGUAAUACGUAGGGGGCAAGCGUUAUCCGGAUUUACUGGGUGUAAAGGGAGCGUAGACGGCAGCGCAAGUCUGGAGUGAAAUCCCAUGGCUUAACCAUGGAACUGCUUUGGAAACUGUGCAGCUAGAGUGCAGGAGAGGUAAGCGGAAUUCCUAGUGUAGCGGUGAAAUGCGUAGAUAUUAGGAGGAACACCAGUGGCGAAGGCGGCUUACUGGACUGUAACUGACGUUGAGGCUCGAAAGCGUGGGGAGCAAACAGGAUUAGAUACCCUGGUAGUCCACGCUGUAAACGAUGAUUACUAGGUGU